AAUAAUAAUAUUCACUAUUAAAAAAUAAAAGUGUUUCAAGUUAUAAAAGAACUAACCAGUGUAGAAAAUUCACUUUCAAAAAGAAAACAUAAAAAUGGUUGUACAGUUAAAGUGGAAUGAACUGAUAUUUUUAUAGAAACAGAACAAAACUACUAAAGGGAAAAGAGGUGAAGAGCUGUAUGACAAAUGAAUCCGUCACUUGUCUUGUGGAAAACAUGCUUUUCUUAUGGUUAAGAAGUGGUAUAUCUUCUUCAUGUUCUGUCAUAAUUGAAGCACCAUCAUUCUGUAUCAUGUAGAAAAACUGCCGACAUUCAUAGGAAACGUCAGUCACAAGAUCUGAAAUAUAGGGUAAAGGAGCCUCACUGCAACUUCUGUUAGGACUAUCAGAGAGGAUAAUAUACAAUCAGAGAGGGUAAAACAUAAAGAACGGACUAUCUGGUAAAUUAUUUUUUUUGUCUUCCAAUAUUGGUUUUCAUAUAUUGGAGAAAAAUCAUUUAUUAAAUUACCUUUGUUUUAGUGACUUCAAGGUAGUGAAAAUUCACACAAGAAUAUCUAUAUACUUAUUUACCUUAUGAGUCUAUACCCAACAGAAAAAUAAAAGUGCUAGUAGAUAGUGGGAUAAAUUUAAAGGAUAAUAUAACAUUAACUCAAAAAUUAGGUGAACUAUGUUCUAAAACAAA